rnacentral:misc_RNA from 1 species
AAGUCGUAACAAGGUUUCCGUAGGUGAACCUGCGGAAGGAUCAUUACCUAGAGUUGUAGGCUUUGCCUGCUAUCUCUUACCCAUGUCUUUUAAGUACCUUCGUUUCCUCGGCGGGUUCGCCCGCCGAUUGGACAAUUUAAACCAUUUGCAGUUGCAAUCAGCGUCUGAAAAAACAUAAUAGUUACAACUUUCAACAACGGAUCUCUUGGUUCUG